AAUUACAUCGUAUUAAAUGAGGAAAAGAAAAGAAUGGUCCCCUUACAGUAAACUUUGGACUCUGAUUAAGGUGUUGGUUGAGGAUAAAAAGAGGAUUUCUCAGCAAAUUUGAUUUGAAUGUAAAGGAAAAUGAGAAGGCUUUGGUUGAACGUGGACAGUGCGAUGUUCCAAACUUGGUUCAUAAUAAACAGCCCAUUUUCGGAAUGACACCACCAAUUCCUUCUUUAUCUUUCGGAAAAGAAGAUGAAUAUUUUGUGGAGGAAGAUGGGUGGACUCAGAUUUUGUCCCAACUUCAAAUUAGUUCAAAGGAACAACCCUGCUCUUCUCUUUUCUUCAUUCUCUACCACUCGGGCUUCUUACAACACUCUCGUCUCUGAGAAUGAUUGAAGUUAUAUGGGGUUGAAAGCUGAGCAAUUGUGUAGAUAGCCAGACGAUCAUUGAAGGUUGAAGAUUGAAAAGACGUUUAGAAUUUUUCUUAUUUACGUCUUGUAUUAGGAUCUUUUUUCAUAUACUGUUGUAGAAUAUAAACACAAUAUUAAGUUUUCA